rnacentral:tRNA from 1 species
GGCCCCGUAGCUCAGCUGGAUAGAGCGUCCCCCUCCUAAGGGGAAGGUCGCCCGUGCGAAUCGGGCCGGGGUCACCA